GUGAGAAUGCUUUAUCUUAUUUUUGUUGUUUGCUUGCCGAGAAAAUGGACACCUCCCCCUCAAAACUGAGCCCAUGCAAACACACACAUAAAAGUUUGGAAAGAGGGAAAGAUAGAGCGAGAAAUUUGCCUAGAUAUUUCCUUCAUUUUCUCGGCAACACCAAGCUCUUUUUGUUUGAGUGUCUGAACCUCAUACUUCUUUCUAAAAUUUCCAGGGGAAACCACCUGACU
rnacentral:misc_RNA from 1 species